AUUGAACGCUGGCGGCCGGCCUAACACAUGCAAGUCGAACGAGUGGCGGACGGGUGAGUAAUGUCUGGGAAACUGCCCGAUGGCGGGGGAUAACUACUGGAAACGGUAGCUAAUACCGCAUACCAUCGGAUGUGCCCAGAUGGGAUUAGCUGGUAGGUGAGGUAACGGCUCACCUAGACGACGAUGCCUAGCUGGUCUGAGAGGAUGACCAGACACACUGUAACUGAGACACGGUCCAGACGCCUACGUGAGGCAGAAGUGGGGAAUAUUGCACAAUGGGCGCAAGUCUGAUUCAGCAUUGCCGCGUGUAUGAAGAAGGCUUUCGGGUUGUAAAGGACUUUCAGCGGGGAGGCGUUACCCGCAGAAGAAGCACCGGCUAACUCCGUGCCAGCCGCCGCGGUAAUAC
rnacentral:rRNA from 1 species